rnacentral:lncRNA from 1 species
AAUUGUAUGCUUGCCUGGCCUGAAAUGAGUUCAGCUCCCUCGCCUGAUGCGCCUCCCAAUCAGUAUCAACGGGAUACAAAGUCCCAAAAGUAGGAGGAGGGAAGGUAGACCGGUAAGUCAUCGCCUCGGUGUACAUGGAAGAGGCGGUAUCAAAGUAGAGAUUCGGCAGCCCGGAAUAUUGAGAAAUUUCCAUUUGAUGCAACAUUGAAGCCAGCUGGUUAACAUCAUUAGAGUAAGGAGGAGGAGCAUGUGCCGGUAUUUCUUGAGACUCAUAUGCCGGAUCCCCCUGUUGAUCCGGAUGGUUACCCUCUUCAAACCGGUUAAUCUCUUCCUCCUCCCUCAAAGCUUCCU